GUAGGUGGCAAGCGUUGUCCGGAACUAUUGGGCGUAAAGCGCGCGCAGGGCGGUCCUUUAAGUCUGAUGUGAAAGCCCACGGCUCAACCGUGGAGGGUCAUUGGAAACUGGGGGACUUGAGUACAGAAGAGGAAAGCGGAAUUCCAAGUGUAGCGGUGAAAUGCGUAGAGAUUUGGAGGAACACCAGUGGCGAAGGCGGCUUUCUGGUCUGUAACUGACGCUGAGGCGCGAAAGCGUGGGGAGCAAACAGGAUUAGAUACCCUGGUAGUCCACGCCGUAAACGAUGAGUGCUAAGUGUUAGGGGGUUUCCGCCCCUUAGUGCUGCAGCUAACGCAUUAAGCACUCCGCCUGGGGAGUACGGCCGCAAGGCUG
rnacentral:rRNA from 1 species